rnacentral:rRNA from 1 species
GACGAACCGUGCGAACGUUGUUCGGAAUCACUGGGCGUAAAGCGCACGUAGGCGGAUUGCUAAGUCAGGGGUGAAAUCCUGGAGCUCAACUCCAGAACUGCCUUUGAUACUGGCGAUCUUGAGUCCGGGAGAGGUGAGUGGAACUGCGAGUGUAGAGGUGAAAUUCGUAGAUAUUCGCAAGAACACCAGUGGCGAAGGCGGCUCACUGGCCCGAUACUGACGCUGAGGUGCGAAAGCGUGGGGAGCAAACAGG